AUGCGGAUGCCUAUUACUUUGUGAUACACUUUCGAAGAGUCGAGUUGUUUGGGAAUGCAGCUCAAAUUGGGUGGUAAAUUCCAUCUAAAGCUAAAUAUUGGCGAGAGACCGAUAGCGAACAAGUACCGUGAGGGAAAGAUGAAAAGCACUUUGGAAAGAGAGUUAACAGUACGUGAAAUUGUUGGAAGGGAAACACAUGCAGCCAGACUUGCUAUUCGGGGCAACUCGAUUGGCAGGCCCGCAUCAGUUUUUCGGGGCGGAAAAGCAUAGAGAGAAGGUAGCAAUUUCGGUUGUGUUAUAGCUCUUUAUUGGAUUCGCCCUGGGGGACUGAGGAACGCAGCGUGCUUUUAGCAUAAGCUUCGGCUUAUCCACGCUUAGGAUGCGGGUGUAAUGGCUGUAUAUGAC
rnacentral:rRNA from 1 species